rnacentral:rRNA from 1 species
GUUAACAGAGUUUAUGGCCCUGAACAAACCCGAUCCUGUCUGAUCUCAGAAGUUAAAUAGGGUCAGGCCUGGUUAGUACUUGGAUGGGAGACUGCCUAGGAAGACCAGGUGCUGUAGAUG